rnacentral:rRNA from 1 species
UACGUAGGGUGCGAGCGUUUGUCCGGAAUUAUUGGGCGUAAAGAGCUUGUAGGCGGUUUGUCGCGUCUGCUGUGAAAAUCCGGGGCUCAACCCCGGACUUGCAGUGGGUACGGGCAGACUAGAGUGUGGUAGGGGGAGAUUGGAAUUCCUGGUGUAGCGGUGGAAUGCGCAGAUAUCAGGAGGAACACCGAUGGCGAAGGCAGAUCUCUGGGCCGUAACUGACGCUGAGGAGCGAAAGCAUGGGGAGCGAACAGG